GAAAUGGUACUGAAGGGGUGUAAAGCAUUGAGGCGAAUGUAUGGGAUGCGCACUGUUUGGUCGUUUGGUUUGAACGUCACGCAAGUAGGCCUAUCGGAUACUAUCGAUAACGCGUAUACAAAAGCAGUCAGAUUCACAAGGGCCUCUGCCACUAUGUGUAUGUAGAAAAGGAUUUACAACAACUAGUUGUGCACAUGCUUGUGAGUGGACUUCAGAGACUGAAUAUGUAGGCACUAGGAAAGCCAAUAAUGGAGAAGUUUUAAUAUUUGACAUGGGCUAAUUUUUGAAUUCCUGAAACAUCUG